rnacentral:siRNA from 1 species
AGAACCAGGAAGCUCAAAGUGGGC